rnacentral:tRNA from 1 species
GAGCAAUUAGUUCAAUAGGUAGAAUGCUUCAUUUACAAUGAAGGGGUUAAUGGUUCAAAUCCAUUAUUGCUUU